UGAAAUUCAGUGAAGGGGAAAAGUAGGCUGGAAACAGGUCCCCAGGGAGGGAAUGUCACCGACUGGAAGCAUUCCCGGCCAUGACCAUCUGAAGUUCUCCCCGGAGAAGCCGGCUGAAAUUUAUAGGCGUUCCGAACAUCCGCUUAUAUUGAUUAGGCUUGGACGUAUUCUUCCCACGUUACAGGGAAGAGGAUAUCGGAAUUUAUUCCCUUACUCCUACCGAGUGGAUCUAUAUGUAAACAAUAUGGAUCAACCGGGGUGGUAACGCGGUGGCAACGCCUCUCGUCCCUGUACGAGGGGUUUAUUUGUUUUCUGCGAGGAAUUUUCCCGUAUCUUUUUAUGAGGGGGCCUGUAUUUAUCUACGGGUCAACCAGGGUGGUACCGCGGAAGCAACCCGUCGCUUUCGUCCCUGUA
rnacentral:ncRNA from 1 species